rnacentral:lncRNA from 1 species
UUGGGGGGGAGUCGUCAUUUGUCUGCAGUUUUAUCCUUUUUAGGACAAAACGGGUGCGGGUACAAAGCUAGGAACAAUGAUCAAAAAUCCACUGAAAAAUCACAUCUGAACAUUUCCACUUGAAAACACUGUAUCUGACGCCACUUUUGACACGUACUCAACUCGAGGUCAAUCCUGAAACCCUCCGGAUGAUAAUUCAAGACUUCAAGGAUCGGUAGCAUAAAGCAUGAAAAAGUCACGGUAAAGCAGAUGCUUCACUCUUCAAUAUGCUUUUUUCAGUGUUUCAAAUGACACAUGUCAGAGGAAUGUAAAUUUUAGGGAAAUGUGGGUAUAGAAUCUGGAACACCAAAGCUCAGAAUCUCACGCUGUUCACUGGGAGAAAGGGAGACCAAGAACCACCUCCCUCUGGGGCAGUUUAACAGCAAAGAGAAGA